rnacentral:rRNA from 1 species
UGCGUAGGCGGGUUUCUAAGUCAGAGGUGAAAGCCUGGAGCUCAACUCCAGAACUGCCUUUGAUACUGGAAGUCUUGAGUUCGGGAGAGGUGAGUGGAACUGCGAGUGUAGAGGUGAAAUUCGUAGAUAUUCGCAAGAACACCAGUGGCGAAGGCGGCUCACUGGCCCGAUACUGACGCUGAGGCACGAAAGCGUGGGAGCAAACA